GACGAACCGUGCGAACGUUAUUCGGAAUCACUGGGCUUAAAGCGCGUGUAGGCGGAUGGGUGCGUCGGCUUCUGAAAGCCCCCGGCUCAACCGGGGAAGUGGGGCCGAAACGACCCGUCUGGAGGGACGUAGGGGGGAUCUGGAACUUCCGGUGGAGCGGUGAAAUGCGUUGAGAUCGGAAGGAACGCCCGUGGCGAAAGCGACUUCCUGGACCAAUACUGACGCUCAUGUGCGAAAGCGUGGGGAGCAAACAGG
rnacentral:rRNA from 1 species